ACCGCGUAGAGGCAAACGGGUGGAUCCGCAGUCGGCCCGGGGAAUUCAGCGCAGCAGGUCGGGGCCAUCGUGCACGCCGGGAUUCAACUCGUGGUGCGCUCCUGGCAGGCAGCGUGCACUUUCUCCGGCGUCGAGAGCCACGACCGGCUUCUGCGGCAGUCAUGAGACAAGGUAGCUGAGCUUCGGGCGUUGGGUGUUACAGGUCGCCGAGGUGGACAUGUCGCGAGGCCGAGCUUGCCACGUUUAUCAGCUUCGGGCCGUCCGGGCGCAUUCGACUUGAGCCCACUGUCUCGGCAGUGUGUUCAGACCGCGUGCCUGGACGGGCUCGUCUCGCUGCGAACGUCUCGGGUCAGUGGCGAAUCGGUCGGUCCUCCACCCGACCCGUCUUGAAACACGGACCAAGGAGUCUAGCAUGUGCGCGAGUCAUGGGGCACGAAACCCAAAGGCGCAACGAAAGUGAAGGCCGCCUCCGGCUGGCCUAGGCAGGAUCCCGUCUCGUUCGCGGGGCGGGCGCACUGCCGGCCCGUCUCGACGGCAUCGCCCGCGAGGCGGAGCAAGAGCGCACACGCUGGGACCCGAAAGAUGGUGAACUAUGCUUGAGUAGGACGAAGUCAGAGGAAACUCUGAUGGAGGUCCGCAGCGAUUCUGACGUGCAAAUCGAUCGUCAAACUUGGGUAUAGGGGCGAAAGACUAAUCGAACCAUCU
rnacentral:rRNA from 1 species